GUGGGGAAUAUUGGUCAAUGGGCGGGAGCCUGAACCAGCCAAGUCGCGUGAAGGAAGAAGGAUCUAUGGUUCGUAAACUUCUUUUGCAGGGGAAUAAAGUGCAGGACGUGUCCUGUUUUGUAUGUACCCUGAGAAUAAGGAUCGGCUAACUCCGUGCCAGCAGCCGCGGUAAUACGGAGGAUCCGAGCGUUAUCCGGAUUUAUUGGGUUUAAAGGGUGCGUAGGUGGUUUGAUAAGUCAGCGGUGAAAGUUUGCAGCUUAACUGUAAAAAUGCCGUUGAAACUGUCGGACUUGAGUGUAAAUGAGGUAGGCGGAAUGCGUGGUGUAGCGGUGAAAUGCAUAGAUAUCACGCAGAACUCCGAUUGCGAAGGCAGCUUACUAAGCUACAACUGACACUGAAGCACGAAAGCGUGGGGAUCAAACAGGAUUAGAAACCCUGGUAGUCC
rnacentral:rRNA from 1 species